UGGGGGUCAUCCUGGAGGUGACCACAGACCCUAAUGGCCCAAGGUCUUCCACCCUGGCCAGGCUGCCUUUGUCCUGGCAGUCCUCUCCAGAUGGCCUCUCCAGUGAAAGCACAUCUUUCCUCUGCAGAAGGUGGACUGGAAAACAGAAAGAAAGAAGAGAGACCAGACUCCAGAGGAUCUGAACAUGCACAAGUGUUUUAA
rnacentral:lncRNA from 13 species